GGACCCGCACAAGCGGUGGAUUAUGUGGUUUAAUUCGAUGCAACGCGAAGAACCUUACCAAGCCUUGACAUCCGAGGCGAAGCUCUGGAGACAGAGCGGAGGCUAUCCGAAGGACAGGUGGUGCAUGGUUGUCGUCAGCUCGUGUCGUGAGAUGUUGGGUUAAGUCCCGCAACGAGCGCAACCCCUGUCUUCAGUUACCAUCAUUCAGUUGGGGACUCUGGAGAGACUGCCGGUGACAAACCGGAGGAAGGUGGGGAUGACGUCAAAUCAGCAUGCCCCUUAUGGCUUGGGCUACACACGUAAUACAAUGGCGCAUACAAAGGGCAGCGAUCCUGUGAAGGUGAGCGAAUCUCAUAAAGUGCGUCUCAGUUCGGAUUGGAGUCUGCAACUCGACUCCAUGAAGUCGGAAUCGCUAGUAAUCGUGGAUCAGCAUGCCACGGUGAAUACGUUCCCGGGUCUU
rnacentral:rRNA from 1 species